rnacentral:rRNA from 1 species
UACAGAGGUCUCAAGCGUUGUUCGGAUUCAUUGGGCGUAAAGGGUGCGUAGGCGGCGCGGUAAGUCGGGUGUGAAAUCUCGGAGCUUAACUCCGAAACUGCAUUCGAUACUGCCGUGCUUGAGGACUGGAGAGGAGAUUGGAAUUCACGGUGUAGCAGUGAAAUGCGUAGAUAUCGUGAGGAAGACCAGUGGCGAAGGCGGAUCUCUGGACG